rnacentral:rRNA from 1 species
UGGGGAAUUUUCCGCAAUGGGCGAAAGCCUGACGGAGCAAUGCCGCGUGGAGGUGGAAGGCCUACGGGUCAUCAACUUCUUUUCUCGGAGAAGAAACAAUGACGGUAUCUGAGGAAUAAGCAUCGGCUAACUCUGUGCCAA